UACUCUUAAUCGAGGAAGUCCCUUCGGGGACAGGAUGACAGGUGGUGCAUGGUUGUCGUCAGCUCGUGUCGUGAGAUGUUGGGUUAAGUCCCGCAACGAGCGCAACCCUUAUUGUUAGUUGCCAUCAUUAAGUUGGGCACUCUAGCGAGACUGCCCGGGUUAACCGGGAGGAAGGUGGGGAUGACGUCAAAUCAUCAUGCCCCUUAUGUCUAGGGCUACACACGUGCUACAAUGGUCGGUACAAUAAGACGCAAGCCCGCGAGGGGGAGCAAAACUGGAAAACCGAUCUCAGUUCGGAUUGUAGGCUGAAACUCGCCUACAUGAAGCUGGAGUUGCUAUAAUCGCGAAUCACAUGUCGCGGUGAAUACGUUCCCGGGUCUUGUACACACC
rnacentral:rRNA from 1 species